rnacentral:rRNA from 1 species
GAUGAACGCUGGCGGCGUGCCUAAUACAUGCAAGUCGAGCGAACGGACGAGAAGCUUGCUUCUCUGAUGUAGCGGCGGACGGGUGAGUAACACGUGGAUAACCUACCUAUAAGACUGGGAUAACUUCGGGAAACCGGAGCUAAUACCGGAUAAUAUUUUGAACCGCAUGGUUCAAAAGUGAAAGACGGUCUUGCUGUCACUUAUAGAUGGAUCCGCGCUGCAUUAGCUAGUUGGUAAGGUAACGGCUUACCAAGGCAACGAUGCAUAGCCGACCUGAGAGGGUGAUCGGCCACACUGGAACUGAGACACGGUCCAGACUCCUACGGGAGGCAGCAGUAGGGAAUCUUCCGCAAAGGGCGAAAGCCUGACGGAGCAACGCCGCGUGAGUGAUGAAGGUCUUCGGAUCGUAAAACUCUGUUAUUAGGGAAGAACAUAUGUGUAAGUAACUGUGCACAUCUUGACGGUACCUAAUCAGAAAGCCACGGCUAACUACGUG